CUUAGGUCCAAAACGACUAGAGAUGUUGAAGACAAAUACAUGGCAAAAGCAGGAAUGUGACCACAAACAAGCUAGGAGGUAACAAGCACAGUAUUUGGAUGUGAUGGCAUUAACUAUUGGUGGCUUAUUUGUAUGCCUAACAAGUUGGGUGAAAAAUGCUCAUUUGGUAAAAAUUUCUUCAUAGGUUUCCGAAAGGCACAGAAGUUGACGGACACUUGAAAGACCUUCAAGCCGUUGAAGAUUUGGAAGACCUGUAAUUAAGUUGGUGGGGUGAUAAUGUCAUAUGCCUUGUUGAACCUGGAGACUUGCUCUGCCCAUUUUGGUUGUGUGGCACAUUUAGAAAUAUAUGUACUUCUCCUUUUGUGGCACUACUUCAUUUUGGUUGUGUGGCACAUCUAGAAACAUAUAUGUACUUCUCCAUUUGUGGCACAACCUCCUUAUAUAUGAUUGUUAUAUAUGUUUAUUGAAUCAACUUUAAGGUUUUUGAUGAGGCCUAUAUAUUACUUUGAUUGAUGAA